GAUGAACGCUAGCGGGAGGCUUAACACAUGCAAGUCGAGGGGCAGCACUGAUAGCAAUAUUAGGUGGCGACCGGCGGACGGGUGAGUAACGCGUAUGCAACCUACCCUUUACAGGGGGAUAGCCCGGAGAAAUUCGGAUUAAUACCCCAUAGAUCAGUGAUUCUGCAUGGGAUUACUGGUAAAGCUUCGGCGGUAAAGGAUGGGCAUGCGUCCCAUUAGCUAGUUGGUAGGGUAACGGCCUACCAAGGCAACGAUGGGUACGGGGUCUUAAAGGAUGGACCCGCACACUGGCACUGAGACACGGGCCAGACUCCUACGGGAGGCAGCAGUGAGGAAUAUUGGUCAAUGGGGGGAACCCGUGAACCAGCCAUCCCGCGUGCAGGAAGACAGUUCUAUGGAUUGUAAACUGCUUUUCUUGGGGAAGAAUAAUGACGACGUGUCGUCAGAUGACGGUACCCGAGGAAUAAGCAUCGGCUAACUCCGUGCCAGCAGCCGCGGUAAUACGU
rnacentral:rRNA from 1 species